GCUGAAUUUAAGCAUAUCAUUAAGCGGAGGAAAAGAAACUAACAAGGAUUCCCUCAGUAACGGCGAGUGAAGCGGAAGAGCUCAAGCUUAAAAUCUCCACGCAAGGCGAAUUGUAGUCUAUUGAAGCUGUUGUCAGCAUAGCGACUUGGGAAAAGUCCCUUGGAAGAGGGCAGCAUAGAGGGUGAUACUCCCGUCUUUGCCCAAGUUGUCUGUGUGUACGACACGCUUUCUUUGAGUCGAGUUGUUUGGGAAUACAGCUCAAAGUAGGUGGUAAAUUCCAUCUAAAGCUAAAUAUUGGUGCGAGACCGAUAGCGAACAAGUACCGUGAGGGAAAGAUGAAAAGAACUUUGAAAAGAGAGUUAAAGAGUACCUGAAACUGUUGAAAGGGAACCGUAUCGUGUCUAGUGUUUAUCCUGUGCAUAUUUCACUGGCGGUCGCAAGAUUGCUGGUGCCCUGUGCAUGGGUGUGACGUCAGAGUCAGUUUGUGCUGCGGGAGAUGGCUAGUGAGGAGGUGCGUCCCUUUUGGGAAAGUUACAGCUCGCUAGCUAGUAGCCGUGGUUGAGACUGAGGUGCCUACAACAUGCUCUGGGGUCUUUUGUUGUCUCGUGUGGGUUGUUGCCUGGAUAGCUUGCUAUGCUGGUGAUAAUGUAUGCGAUCGAUGGCAAUCGUAACCUCUGCU
rnacentral:rRNA from 1 species